UACGUAGGUGGCAAGCGUUGUCCGGAAUUACUGGGUGUAAAGGGAGCGUAGGCGGGAAGACAAGUUGAAUGUGAAAUCUAUCGGCUCAACCGAUAAACUGCGUUCAAAACUGUUUUUCUUGAGUGAAGUAGAGGCAAGCGGAAUUCCUAGUGUAGCGGUGGAAUGCGUAGAUAUUAGGAGGAACACCAGUGGCGAAGGCGGCUUGCUGGGCUUUUACUGACGCUGAGGCUCGAAAGCGUGGGGAGCAAAC
rnacentral:rRNA from 1 species